GCCUCAUUAGCUGAGGGGUUAGAGCAUUGGUCUUGUAAACCAGGGGUCUAGAGUUCAAAUCUCUGAUGAGGCU